rnacentral:lncRNA from 1 species
GAGUUUGGAGCCAGAGGGUUUUGGGUCGGGUGUGGAAUGGUAUUUUGCUUGGGAAGGGAAGAUUUGUCUUUGGAGGGUAAGCCGAAAGCUUUGUGUAACACCCCAAAACCAGCCCAAUUAAAUUUUUAAAAGCUAAUGGGUUCUUUACAGCCCAACUAGAAAACCCUAGGGUUCUCCCUUUCCCCACAUUAUAAAAGCAAGCCCUCACCUCCUUUACCUCUCAUCAGAAGUUUAGAAGCGAAGCCCUGCAGAGAAUUCCCGGAGACUGAAAGCCCUAGCCGUCGACUUUCUCUCUCUCCCCGCGCCGCCUCUCUCCUCCUCCUCUC